AGGACCCCAAGAGCACCUCCCCAAGCAAAGGGACCCCCAGUGCCUCCUCCCUGACCCUCACACACUCCCCCCCCCCACCCUCCUCCCCAUCAACCAAAUCCCCCCCUGAACCAUGACCCGGACGGAUCCAACGGUACUGAUAACCCCAGGGGGCGGCGGUCAGGGUCUCUCCCGCAAUUCCUUUGGAGCUCCAGCCGUGGACCUCACCCACCUUCUGGUCUGGGGCUGGUCUGAUACAGGAUGUGUAACAGGUGGUCUAUGACGGAGAGGUACUUGCCCCAUGAAUCAAUCAGAAACUUGUUUGUUACGAAACGACCUCGACAGCUUUGUCCCACCAGCCGAUUGUAACCUUCCCGUUUGUGGCGUUGGGUCCCACUUUGUUUUUACCAAAGACGUAGAUGAAUGGAGUCAGUAUUGGAGUGUGUGUGAUGGGAUAGAACUAAAGGACUAUUUAAAUGCUUGUGUCAACGAGUUUGGUUUCAGAUCACAGUUUGAGCUCGGUGUUCAUAGCUGAUCAAAGAAAAUGCGGAACCUUUCUACAGUUAUGUAUACAAUAUUGAAGCUUUGCUUUGUAUCACUGGCAUUGGGAUUUCACCUGAACCAGAUUUUGCUUUGUACGGAUCUUACUGGCGCAAACAUGGCGUGAAUGUGUGUGCCCCAAUAUACGUUGUGUGUGUUUGAAAAACGUUUUUAAAACACUACUGUCAGGCCUUACACAUCGAUCAUCUUUCAUUAAUCCAAAGUUUUUAACCAGCAUUUAUUUGAAAGAAGAACCUCCCAGUAGAAGAAGCACAAAUCUAACCAAUCCCUUACCAGUUCAAGGUGAAUAUUGCAAUAACACAAAAUGGCUGCUCUUAAAGUAUUGCAAUAGUUGAAUACUCAACACAUCAUUAAAAGAGAACUGUUGAAAGAGAUGCAUCUGUAUGCAGGGAUUCAACUUGCAAACUCAUUAAAUCCCGUCUUUAAGGUGAUAAAAGCUAUAGACGAGCUUUGAUCUUUGAUGACAUGAGAACUUCUCACGAAAACCAUUGUCCUCUCCCAUCAGUUCAGGAACCAACAAAACCAACUGCCAAUGACAGUACGGUGAAUCCCGCAAGAAGUUAGCCAAAGGCAGUUGGUCUUCCUGAUCAUUUGAUUGAAUUACAUGAGACAAAAUAACCAGCUCACAUAGCAGAUAACUCUUAGGAAUCCAACCUUUCAAGGCGAGACCAGCACAAGUCUUCGAGCGUGUUUUCCUGUGGCCUGUGAUGUGACAGUAUUAAAAAAACGCUUUUCUACCAAAAGGUUAAAUGCAGAAACACGAUGACAGACCUAAGGGAUGUUCUGCUCUCCUGUCAUCUCUACCAAGUGGCACAGUAUAAGAUGUAUUUGUAAGUGUUUGACUGCUGAUUCAGAAAACAGUACUGUACUGUUGUUAAAGAUCUGAACCCCUAAUCCCUUUGGUGUAGGCCUGGUCAGACAGACUGAAAGUGAUGAAUUAUAUGUGCAUGGUUUACUCAUUAUAAUAGGCCUACGUUUUAUCCCCAGUCAUAAGACUGCAUAUACCAAACCCAUCUCAUGAAAACACCUUUCAUUCACAAAAGCCUUCUUACACAAUUUAAACACCUGAAAAUAAAUAAAGGAGGAAUGGGUGGAUUAAGAUUAAGAUGAAGGUGUGCUUGACUGUUUUAGCAUAAUGCUUGCCUUAUGGUGGCCGACAAUAAAAUAAUAAACCAACGGAAUCAUUGUUUGUAGUAUAUUGGGUAUAAUGGGAUAAACUAGCCAGACACAGACGUUACUCUUCACAUGUUUAUUGUCCCCCACGGAACCUAGCACUCA
ensembl:lncRNA